AAGUCGAACGAACUCUGGUAUUGAUUGGUGCUUGCAUCAUGAUUUACAUUUGAGUGAGUGGCGAACUGGUGAGUAACACGUGGGAAACCUGCCCAGAAGCGGGGGAUAACACCUGGAAACAGAUGCUAAUACCGCAUAACAACUUGGACCGCAUGGUCCGAGUUUGAAAGAUGGCUUCGGCUAUCACUUUUGGAUGGUCCCGCGGCGUAUUAGCUAGAUGGUGAGGUAACGGCUCACCAUGGCAAUGAUACGUAGCCGACCUGAGAGGGUAAUCGGCCACAUUGGGACUGAGACACGGCCCAAACUCCUACGGGAGGCAGCAGUAGGGAAUCUUCCACAAUGGACGAAAGUCUGAUGGAGCAACGCCGCGUGAGUGAAGAAGGGUUUCGGCUCGUAAAACUCUGUUGUUAAAGAAGAACAUAUCUGAGAGUAACUGUUCAGGUAUUGACGGUAUUUAACCAGAAAGCCACGGCUAACUACGUGCCAGCAGCCGCGGUAAUACGUAGGUGGCAAGCGUUGUCCGGAUUUAUUGGGCGUAAAGCGAGCGCAGGCGGUUUUUUAAGUCUGAUGUGAAAGCCUUCGGCUCAACCGAAGAAGUGCAUCGGAAACUGGGAAACUUGAGUGCAGAAGAGGACAGUGGAACUCCAUGUGUAGCGGUGAAAUGCGUAGAUAUAUGGAAGAACACCAGUGGCGAAGGCGGCUGUCUGGUCUGUAACUGACGCUGAGGCUCGAAAGUAUGGGUAGCAAACAGGAUUAGAUACCCUGGUAGUCCAUACCGUAAACGAUGAAUGCUAAGUGUUGGAGGGUUUCCGCCCUUCAGUGCUGCAGCUAACGCAUUAAGCAUUCCGCCUGGGGAGUACGGCCGCAAGGCUGAAACUCAAAGGAAUUGACGGGGGCCCGCACAAGCGGUGGAGCAUGUGGUUUAAUUUGAAGCUACGCGAAGAACCUUACCAGGUCUUGACAUACUAUGCAAAUAUAAGAGAUUAGACGUUCCCUUCGGGGACAUGGAUACAGGUGGUGCAUGGUUGUCGUCAGCUCGUGUCGUGAGAUGUUGGGUUAAGUCCCGCAACGAGCGCAACCCUUAUUAUCAGUUGCCAGCAUUAAGUUGGGCACUCUGGUGAGACUGCCGGUGACAAACCGGAGGAAGGUGGGGAUGACGUCAAAUCAUCAUGCCCCUUAUGACCUGGGCUACACACGUGCUACAAUGGAUGGUACAACGAGUUGCGAACUCGCGAGAGUAAGCUAAUCUCUUAAAGCCAUUCUCAGUUCGGAUUSUAGGCUGCAACUCGCCUACAUGAAGUCGGAAUCGCUAGUAAUCGCGGAUCAGCAUGCCGCGGUGAAUACGUUCCCGGGCCUUGUACACACCGCCCGUCACACCAUGAGAGUUUGUAACACCCAAAGUCG
rnacentral:rRNA from 1 species